UAAUACGGAGGGUCCAAGCGUUAUCCGGAUUCAUUGGGUUUAAAGGGUGCGUAGGCGGAUUAAUAAGUCAGUGGUGAAAGCCUGCAGCUUAACUGUAGAAUUGCCAUUGAUACUGUUUAUCUUGAGUUUAGUUGAAGUGGGCGGAAUGUGUCAUGUAGCGGUGAAAUGCAUAGAUAUGACACAGAACACCGAUAGCGAAGGCAGCUCACUAAGCUAAUACUGACGCUGAGGCACGAAAGCGUGGGUAGCGAACAGGAUUAGAUACCCUGGUAGUCCACGCCGUAAACGAUGAUUACUCGAUGUGUGCGAUAUACUGUACGCGUCCAAGCGAAAGUGAUAAGUAAUCCACCUGGGGAGUACGUUCGCAAGAAUG
rnacentral:rRNA from 1 species